rnacentral:misc_RNA from 2 species
AACGCACCUUGCGCUCCUUGGUAUUCCGAGGAGCAUGCCUGUUUGAGUGUCAUUAAUAUAUCAACCUCUUCAGCUUUUUGCAUGUUGAGUGUUGGAUGUGGGGGGUAUUUUUGCUGGACUCUAGAAUGUGAGGUCAGCUCCCCUAAAAUGUAUCAGCGAAACAAUUUGUUUACCGCUCAUUGGUGUGAUAACUAUCUACGCUAUUGACGGUGAAAGCACGUUUAGCUCCUAACAGUCCAUUAGCUUGGACAACCUCUUAUUAAUGUGACCUCAAAUCAGGUAGGACUACCCGCUGAACUUAA